GCCGGGCCCGGGCACGGAGCGGGGCUGCGGCGGGUGGGCGGGCGGCGCGCUGUGCCCGAGCCCGCGGGUCCCUUCGUUCCGCUUCUGCCGGCCCCGAGGGCAGCUUCGCGGGAGCUGCCCUGCCUGCUGUGUUCUUCCCUGCUCCGGAGCCGGGGGAGGGGGAAAGAGGCUGCUACGCGAACGAUGGGGUGGGAGCAGCAGAGGUAUGUGUCAUCCACCUGCUGACAUGGUCUGCAAAAGAAAACUUGUUCCGGAGACCUCAUCACCACUGAGAGAGACAAGCAUCCAUGCUGGCACCCAUAUCUCCUGGAUUUGGUCGUAAGUCAUGAAAUUUGUCUCACGAGGAUUAGAAACGCUGCCAUCUGCAAUACAGACAUUUCUAUCAGCGGAUGUGACCAGGAAAACCUAGUGUUUGUCAGUAAUUGCUUCUAAAAAUAGGCACUGUCUCUUAAAAGUGAAACAGGAGGGUGACAAGGAGCUUUAAAACAAUUCUCGUUAGUGGCAGAGAAUAACCCACAUCUAUAACUGUGUUGUAAGGCCAGCACUGUUGCUGUGGUGGAGGGCGCUAAGCCCCUGGCAGCCCAAAUGCUGCCUUUGUACCUCAGUCCCACGUGGCACCAUGGGUAGGAGGCCCUGACAUACUCCCCCCAGGCUCCAUUUUCUCACAUGAUGGAGAGGAGCUGCAUCAGCAUGGGGCAGGGGAGUGGCACAGGCACAAAAGCUGUUGGGGUGGGAAGGGAAAGGUAGCACGGACCAGGUCAAGGGGCAGGAUUAGACCUUCUGUUCAUCCUGGAGGACAAACCCACACAGCCUUUACCUCCUCCAAGGGGCCUUGCAGACUCUCUUUUGUAAAUGCUAAUCAAGAGAGUAAAUCAGAGCUUGUUGUCAGUGAAGUAACAUGGGAUAGCUUUCUCCUGUCUCUUAGCAAUGGGUCUUCUGUGCUGCCAAGAGACAACUGAUAAUGACUUCUUAAUACACUUGCUCUGAUAAUAAGGUUUUUGUCACUAUUGUCCAAACUGCUCAACUCACAUGUGUGGUAGGACACAGAAAAUGUCACUCCGUCUCUGCUCUGUGCUCACUCUACAUUUUCAUCUAAAAUAAUCCGCUUCUAAUUCACAGCAAAGAAACUGAUGGGAGUGAAGAGAAAGUGCUUCCCAAGAGCUCUCUAAUGGGCCUAGGCAACGGUGUGAGCACAAUGUGGGUAUUCCUCUGCUUUCAGGAAGCAGGAAGCAUACUGACUGUCCUUCUUUCCCGUAUGCGUGUUCUAGCUCCAAUCUCAGAAUCAAAGGAUGGAGUUUUCACAGUGGGACUGUGCAAAGCAGGGGGGGGAGCAGCCCUGCUGCCAGCUGAGGCAAGCGGUCCUGGUGCAUCGCCUGUACUUGCCUUGCCACAGGCACGGCUGUUGCACACUGCACAGCAUCCUCUGGGCAGCAACACCAAAUCGGGGCUGUGAACAUCGGAUGAAGGGCUUCCGAUGGCAGAUGGCAGACUCUGAGCUGCGCACACUUUUAGAUUAGUGUAGUUUCAAAUCGUUUUAAUCUGCUUUGGUUCUCGUGGCUUGCCCAGGCUGCAAAAAGGUAUGAAAACAACAUAAAGGUAGCUGCCUGCACAUCUGGCGAGCACCAGCAUGCUACAGUGCAGGGGAGAGCUGGGAGUAGUUGGUGGAAAUUUAGCAGAAGAAAACAAUGACCGGUUGUCAAAAGGAAUGUCUUUACUAAGCAGUGUUCUAAUCACAGAAGGUGAUGAGACACCGCUUACACCAGGUGCUCUGGGUGAAAAGAAACAGUCCGAAUUGGCCGGACCCCUUUGUCAGCCCCCAGCCCCACGGUUCUGAGGCAGCCAUUUCAUUUCAGGCUGUGCAAGCCUGCAGCCCGAGGCCGGUCUCGUGACCGUUUCUGUCUCUAGCAGCCUGAUCCACUACAGCCCAUAUAAAUCAGUGGGAAUUAUUCUCGUGGAAAACUGGGGUCUUGGAAGAGGCCCUUGAAAUAUAGCAGAUAUAUCAGCGGCAGUGUUGGCACCGCAUAAAGGGCAGAGCGAAUAAUAAUAGCAACAAAGAACUCCCAGCAUCCAGAAAGUGCAGCAGAGGUCAGGCUCUGCAUGAAGACAGUUGUUAUGAGAGAUUUAAAUGUUUUGAAGGAAAGCACAGCAGGGCGGUCACGCAAGGAACUCUGCUGCAGCCACAGCCCCUGUUCCUGGGCACUGGCUGAGGCUGCUGCUGUGGGCAUUGCACCUGCCCCACUGUUCUCCAUUCAGACUGUGUUUCCAGGCUUGCUUUAUGCACUCCCCACAGCCCACAGCCCUGCUGCAGGUGCUUCAGUCUGUACUGAUGGGCUGUGAAAGC